rnacentral:rRNA from 1 species
UGCCCUAUCAACUUUMGAUGGUAAGGUAUUGGCUUACCAUGGUUUCAACGGGUAACGGGGAAUUAGGGUUCGAUUCCGGAGAGGGAGCCUGAGAAACGGCUACCACAUCCAAGGAAGGCAGCAGGCGCGCAAAUUACCCAAUCCCGACACGGGGAGGUAGUGACAAUAAAUACUGAUACAGGGCUCUUUUGGGUCUUGUAAUUGGAAUGAGUACAAUUUAAACCUCUUAACGAGGAACAAUUGGAGGGCAAGUCUGGUGCCAGCAGCCGCGGUAAUUCCAGCUCCAAUAGCGUAUAUUAA